rnacentral:rRNA from 1 species
CCUGCUCAAUGAAAUUUUAAAUAGCCGCAGUUAUUCUGUGCUAAGGUAGCAUAAUCAUUUGUUUUUUAAUUAAAAACUAGAAUGAAAGGUUUAACGUUUUAAUUAUUUUAUUAUUAAUAAAAUUUUAAUCUAUACUAAAUAUAAAAAUAUAUUUAUUAUAUAAAUAGACGACAAGACCCUAUUGAACUUCACUUUAGUUUAGCUGGGGCAGCUUAAUAAUUAAUAUUUUAUAAAAUCCAAUAAAUCACAAAUUAUCCAAUAACAUUGAUAUGUUAAACAAGUUACCAUAGGGAUAACAGCAUAAUAUUAUUUUAAAGUUCUUAUUAAAAAUAAUGUUUGUGACCUCGAUGUUGAAUUAUUAUCACUAAGUAAAUGCAAUAGUUACAAAAGUAAGUCUGUUCGACUUUUAAUAUAAUACA